rnacentral:lncRNA from 1 species
CCUUUUUUCUGAAUUUCCAGUUUGUGAAACUCAACUUCAAUAGUUUUGGCUAUUUUGGCAUCAUCCGGGUCUGGCUCUGGUAUGUCUACAUAGAAAGAUCCUUGUCUCAUCAGCGGUGUUGAUUCCGCAGAGUUAGCUUGCUGCUUUAUGUCGUUAUAGAGUUGUUGAUGGAAUGUGUGAUUGAAGGAGAAACAGUUUUCGGUAAUUGCUGCAACUGCAUUAUGUCUCGAUGGCUUGGAAUCUUGUUUUUUGCAGAAGUGUGGGAGAGAUCCGUAGUCCAUUACCUUGAGUAAUUCGUCCUUGCCACAACCUUGCAGCACCUGGAUUUUCUUCCUUGUUCUUUCUUGCAAAAGAGGCUUUACAACCUUCCAACACGCGGAGAAUACAUAUGGUGCAUUAACGAUAUAGUAUGUGUCUGUCUUUUCCGGAUAGUUCAAGUCAUCUAUCGUAGAUAUAGCUGUCAAUAGCCUUUGAGGUAUCCAUGCCGGAUUUUACAAAUUACUCAUGCAUAGUUGGUUAGUUUAUAAGUUUCGUUAGUCAUGGGGAUGCUGGUUAACAGUUGUUGUAAUUGCAGGUUAGAGGGGUUUAAUGGAUACUGAGUUCUUAUUGAAUUUCUCAGUUUCACGCGCAGGUUAUACAUACAUUCGACGUAUGUGCGGUUUGAUUUGCUAAAGGCGGGAGGUCACGGUUUCAACGACACUAGUUUGUAUCGACG